ensembl:lncRNA
AUGAACUGGGUCGGAGGUUCGAGGAACAGACUAGUGAUGAGAAGUGAUGCUAAAAAGCAGCGGGAGUUUUUUGAAAAGAGGAAAUUGCAGCAGAGGCUGAGGAAAAUCGGGGUAGCUCUGCCACCAUCGUCAUCCAAAGACAUUAGCUCUGGGAGUAUGGACCUAAUGAGUUUGUUUAUAGUCGGUCAGAUUGCUACCAAGAAGGGAAAUCAAGAUCCUCCAAAAGUUGCUGUUCUUGGCAGUUUUGAUGGAAGCUCCAAGCAUCGGAGGACUGAGUCCAUAGUGCUCCCAAUGAGUCCCUGCUCUCCAUCGCAGCUGAACCUUGUCGAGAGCUCGUCUCAGUUUGGUUUUCCAGAAACGAGAAAAAGACAGAACAUAAAUCCACAAAAAUUCAAGUGUAGAAAGUUAUCACCAGUGUUGGAGUCAACGUUCUCAGACAACAGUGCAUCUGAUUACCUGCCUCUCAUAACUGGCCCGCUCAGCCCCACCUCAUCAGUCUCGAUGAGUCAAGGAAUAUUCCCGUCCCAGAUGAAAAUACAGAAGCAAAACCAGAGUCAGUUGCAGCUUUUUCCUCACUAUUCUCCUUCAUCCCAGAACACCCCAGUGCUGCAGCAGACCCAGUUUCAGCCUUUCUCCCAGCAGAUCAGUUUGACAGAUCCUGUUCCCUGGUCCAGCACUUCAAACCCACCCUUCUUUCACGUGGAGACCCCUACUGCAGUCCCUACCCUCUUUGGAAGCCAAAAUCUUGAAAAAACUGAAGGAAGUAAUAUUGAUAGAUCCGCAGCUACCUUCUUUUUUAAUCAACAAGAAAACACAGAGCUGGAUUUCUCACUUGACCGGUCACAAACUGGAAAUCUGCUUGAAGACGACGUCUUUGGUGGGUUUGGUGAUGACGAGUAUGAAACUGAAGCUUUUAACUUCGGGAAUCCAAAAUCCAAAAUAUCCCUCAGAGAUGAAACAUUCGUGCGAUCUGCAACACCACAAACCGUGACUAAUGUUCUCAGUGGAGUGGAGCUCUCCAACUGCGCUGACCUUAACUCCUCAUGUCCCGACCAGAACACUGAGCUCCUGAGUAGCUGUGAAAAUUUGCCAAGUUGCUCUUGCAAAGAAGGUUACCUCAGUUCAGACUCCAGUGAUGACAAAUCCUGCUGCGAGGAGUGUCUUCAAGACUCUGCUUUUAACACAGAUGAACCCUGUUGUGAUGACUCAAACUCACAGAGGACUCCAAAAUCCUCCAAAUCUCUCACCUCUUUUGCCAGACUCGACAUGAACUCAGGCAAAGACCAGAAAACUGAAGGGAAGGUAAUCAGCCCAAAUAAAACAUCUGGAGUCCAAGGCCAGCAGAUGGCCCCGUCUUCAUCUUCUCACAUUCUGGAACCAACUCAGAUCUCAGAGUUGUGCAAAUGUAAGAAAACACCCACCGAAGCUCAAGACGUGGGGAUUCAAACAGUACCCCAGACGCGCAAUGCUUCCACUCAGUGCAGCUUUGUCACAAACAGUGAGGCCAGAGCUUCAUGCAGCUUGUAUGAUAUGUCAGAGAAGCAACCAGCACCUCAACAGCAGACAGCUUCACUACAAACCACAAGACGAGGAAGUUGGCCACCAUGGAAUGAGUUCAGCGUUAAUAACAGACCUAAAGUUAUCCUACAGAGACCCACACACCCUUUACAGGUCAUCUUCAGCCCAAGAGGCUCAGAGAAUCGAGAUGAGACAGAGGACGAUGAGAACAGCCGUCAGAUCAAAGAGGCAUCAGAUGGGAGAGAGGAGGUCACAUCUGCUGGCAGAGUCCAGUGA